GUUAUAUAAAUAUUUGAUUUAAAAUGUAAAAAUUAUAGUAUUUAUUUAAAUAUUAAAAUUUUAAAAAUUCUCUCUCAUCUCUCAUCUUUUUUUGAAUAAAUCUAUUUAUCAAUUUUUUUUAUUUAUAUUUUUAUUUUCAUUUUUCAAACUUUUUUUUCUUUUUCAUAAUAUCAAUUUUUUAUAGUGAUUCUUCUCUAUUUCUUUUUAUUUUUUCAAUAUCCAACUCAA
rnacentral:lncRNA from 1 species